rnacentral:pre_miRNA from 11 species
AUAACCUGCGUAAAACUGGUGAUUGCCAUCAGCGAGGUAUAGAGUUCCUACGUUGCGUGUGCGAAAUUGGUAGGAACUUCAUACCGUGCUCUUGGCUAGCCGUGAAUCAUCCGAUAGUGCGA